rnacentral:rRNA from 1 species
CAAGCGUUGUCCGGAUUUAUUGGGCGUAAAGAGCUCGUAGGCGGUCUGUCGCGUCGGAUGUGAAAACCCAGGGCUCAACCCUGGGCCUGCAUUCGAUACGGGCAGACUAGAGUGUGGCAGGGGAGACUGGAAUUCCUGGUGUAGCGGUGAAAUGCGCAGAUAUCAGGAGGAACACCUGUGGCGAAAGCGGCUCACUGGACCAUAACUGACGCUGAUGCACGAAAGCUGGGGGAGCAAACAGG